GGAUAUGAGAGCAAUCUGGCUGUAACACCUGUUACCCCAUUGCUCCCCAGGGUUGAUUAAGCUGAUUCGGCUGGCUAGGAAGUUGUCCCCUUCCUCCCUCACUGCUCUGCGUACAUUCCUCCCAAGCAAAACUGUGUACUCAAAGAAGACAACCGCCCUUGACUGGGGAGGACUGUGUUUCCUUGGUCAAGUGUAUGCGAGUAGCUGCAUUCCCCUGGUAGAACCUCCACACAUGCUCUCAGAAUAAAGAUUUGUAUAAAAAUACUUUUAUGCAUUAUUUUAAUUCAAACUAUUUCCUCUUAAACCAGAGGCUUCUUU
ensembl:misc_RNA 7SK 7SK RNA